rnacentral:tRNA from 1 species
GGGCCUGCAGCGUUUCGAGGCAACUCAUAAUCCUUUGGUCCACGGUUCGAGUCCGUGUGGGCCCACCA